rnacentral:lncRNA from 1 species
UCCCUAAGUGAACAUUUGAGACGAAAACGUGGGGGCUGAUGCAGCAGAGGAAUGUCCGAAAAAAACAAGCAACGAUGGACAACUACAUGGGGAACAAGACACUCACCCCCAGCAAUGCAUACCACUUACAAACUCUAUUCCAGAUUCUACAUUAUUUUUUAUGGAAUUUACCUCUUAUAUUUUGAUGCCAAAAAAUUAUUCUGGACUGAUAUUUUGCACUGUUUAGCUCAUUUUACACCGCUGACUGUGUUCAUGUGCCAUAAAAUAGAUUGCAGUCAACUGCACAAUUCUCUUAUGUUUUUCUUUUUCUUAACUGAAAUGUAUUCAUCUUUUGUAUAGGUUAAAUAGCUAAACAAUAACAAACCGAUUAAUCGAUUAAUCGAAAAAAUAAUCGACAGAUUAAUCGAUUAUGAAAAUAAUCGUUAGUUGCAGCCCUAGUUAGUAUAAAGUCCGUUUGUGUUGACUUUUCACACUUGUUCUUCCACAAAUGACACCAUCACACGAAUUUCCAUCGUCUAAUAAAAAUAUAAAUACCCAAACUAUGUUAGUUGUAGGUCACACUCAGCCCAUUUUCCCUUAGAGUUACAAAUGGGAUUUUGUUCUACAGGGGGCCUUGGGGUCUGAUCUUGAUUUAAACACACACACACACACACACACACACACACACACACACACACACACACACACACACACACACACACACACAACAGGAUGGAUUUGACUGAAACAUGGAGGCACACACAGACAGAAGCAUGGAUUUCUCUUUUUGGGCCUUAGGGACCGAUCUUAGCCUCUUAAUGAUGACAGCGCCAGAAAGAUGGAUUUACUGUGGUGAGGAGAGAUGGGAACGCCAGCCAUGGGAGACAUGUUCAACACACACAAACACAGCCAGCUGAAAAUGAUAAAAAUCAAUAAAUAGUUUUCCUCAAACGAAUCCAUCAUUCCAACAGGGAAGAGUAAAACUGUAAUACAGCCAAAAAAGAGAAAAGUCGGCUUGAAAAUGGGUCAAAUGCACCAAUAACAGAGACACACUCUUAGCCUCAUUACUAAAGCCUGAUUCAUGCUUCUCCAUCUGUGUCAGUGCGGACACACGCAACGUCCUUGCGGGCCUGCUGGAGAGCUCCACAAGGAUGGACGGAGUCGAGCUCUCUUUUCUAAACAUCCGUCCGUCGAGAUGGAGAAUGCAAGCUUGUGACUGGUCAGGACGCCGCUGUUGUCGACAGCGCCGCCAUUGCGCCCUCAAAAACAUAAAGAGAGCUGAUGAUAUCUAGCGGCAGACACGGAGCAGCUUGAAUACCUUGCGAAAAAAACUCUAAAAAUAUGAACGUUUAAUUCCCCCGUUACUGGAGGAGUGAAAAUAUGCUUAGCAAGCAUUUUAUUUGUGGACGGAAAUGACAGGAAAUGUGGGUUUAGAGGUGGCGAGCGCAUGAAGAGGCGGAGGAGGAUGAGAGACAAAUUUGUCUGUGUUAAAAAGUCUCUUAUAUACAAAAAACACAAUAUAAACACACUAUCUUGGACCGAUACGACAGGAUACCACAGAACAGCGCUACGCCCUCUGCUGUCCUGGAGGGGAAUUGCUUUGCAACACUCUCCAGCAGACGGAGAAGUAUGAGAGCAAAACGCUUCCGUCAAUCCGUGCGUGUCUGUCCCUUGCGGAGCUGACAGAGAAGCAUGAAACAGGCUUUAGUUGCCAUGAUGACAAUCCCCACCCCGAUAACCAAAGCAGUCCGCUCAGUGACCACUGAAUAUUUACUGCAGAGCCUGCAUUAUUAGCAUAAGAAUAUAACCGGAUUUUUUAAAAGUGUAUUAAUCAUUCCUUUUCCAUUAGCCUAUAAAGUUAAUUCAAUACAAAUUGCCUAUGUGAGGGUGUUUUUCAGUACAGCUGCAAAUGUUCCCAAAUAUUUCCAUUCAACCAAGUUCACCCAAAUGUCGAAACUGCCAAAAAUAUUGGUAAAAACCUAAAAAGAUUACGGCAAAAACUACAGGCUUUAAUUGGCAAGUUAAUUCAUGAACAUCUGGGAGAAAGAAAAGACAGAAAAUAUGUGGCAGUUGUGCCGGGAAAGGCUUCUUUCUGUGCAUUAGUGUGAUUGAUGAAUCAUUUUGUUUAAAUGAGUACAUUUUGUUCUCAUUCAAAGACACCUCUUGUUCUUUUAGAAAAUACUUUCUUUAUCCUCUAUAGUUCAGACACUGUAGCUAAAGCAUGCCUAGAGCCUUUGAGGUAUUCCAUUUAAAGUUCUUAAGAUUUAUCCUGAGUUGUUCUCAAACUCGUUGGUACAGGGCUGCCAACUUUUGAACAUUUCAAAGAGUGAGACGGGGUCAUGGGGUUGGGAGCGGACAAUUUGCCGACCUUUUGGGGGGGGGGG